rnacentral:rRNA from 1 species
CAGAGGGUGCAAGCGUUAAUCGGAAUUACUGGGCGUAAAAGCGCGCGUAGGUGGUUUGUUAAGUUGGAUGUGAAAUCCCCGGGCUCAACCUGGGAACGUGCAUUCAAAAACUAGACUGACUAGAGUAUGGUGGAGGGUGGUGGAAUUUCCUGUGUAGCGGUGAAAUGCGUAGAUAUAGGAAGGACACCAGUGGCGAAGGCGACCACCUGGACUAAUACUGACACUGAGGUGCGAAAAGCGUGGGGGAGGCAAACAGGAUU